GACGAACGCUGGCGGCGUGCCUAAUACAUGCAAGUAGGACGCACAGUCUAUACCGUAGCUUGCUACACCAUAGACUGUGAGUUGCGAACGGGUGAGUAACGCGUAGGUAACCUGCCUAUUAGAGGGGGAUAACUAUUGGAAACGAUAGCUAAUACCGCAUAACAGUAUGUAACACAUGUUAGAUGCUUGAAAGAUGCAAUUGCAUCGCUAGUAGAUGGACCUGCGUUGUAUUAGCUAGUAGGUAGGGUAAUGGCCUACCUAGGCGACGAUACAUAGCCGACCUGAGAGGGUGAUCGGCCACACUGGGACUGAGACACGGCCCAGACUCCUACGGGAGGCAGCAGUAGGGAAUCUUCGGCAAUGGGGGGAACCCUGACCGAGCAACGCCGCGUGAGUGAAGAAGGUUUUCGGAUCGUAAAGCUCUGUUGUUAAGGAAGAACGAGUGUGAGAAUGGAAAGUUCAUACUGUGA
rnacentral:rRNA from 1 species